UUGGAGGGCAAGUCUGGUGCCAGCAGCCGCGGUAAUUCCAGCUCCAAUAGCGUAUAUUAAAAUUGUUGCAGUUAAAAAGCUCGUAGUUGAAUUUCUGCUGUAUUGCAUUUUCUCUUUUUAUAUGAGUUUUUGCAUUAUGGCUUAUUUCAGUAUUAAUUUU
rnacentral:rRNA from 1 species